UACGAAGGGGGCUAGCGUUGUUCGGAAUCACUGGGCGUAAAGCGCACGUAGGCGGAUCUUUAAGUCAGAGGUGAAAUCCCAAGGCUCAACCUUGGAACUGCCUUUGAUACUGGGGAUCUUGAGUCCGGGAGAGGUGAGUGGAACUGCGAGUGUAGAGGUGAAAUUCGUAGAUAUUCGCAAGAACACCAGUGGCGAAGGCGGCUCACUGGCCCGGUACUGACGCUGAGGUGCGAAAGUGUGGGGAGCGAACAGG
rnacentral:rRNA from 1 species